AUUUGAUGAUGUGGAUAACUUGUAUAAUGUUUUUUAAAGCACUCCUAAUAUUCGUAUAAAGAUUCUCCAGUAUGUUGUCUAAUGCCACAGAUUUCCUUUUUUAUGCU